AGAGUUUGAUCCUGGCUCAGAACGAACGCUGGCGGCGUGCCUAACACAUGCAAGUCGAACGGAGAUAAGGGGCUUGCUCCUUAUUUUAGUGGCGCACGGGUGAGUAACGCGUGGAUAAUCUACCUUGGAAUCUGGGAUAACAUUUCGAAAGGGGUGCUAAUACCGGAUAAGACCACGAGCUCUUUGGAGUUUGCGGUAAAAGGGGGCCUCUGUAUAUGCUUCUGUUUCAAGAUGAGUCCGCGUACCAUUAGCUAGUUGGCAGGGUAACGGCCUACCAAGGCAACGAUGGUUAGCUGGUCUGAGAGGAUGAUCAGCCACACUGGAACUGAGACACGGUCCAGACUCCUACGGGAGGCAGCAGUGGGGAAUUUUGCGCAAUGGGGGAAACCCUGACGCAGCAACGCCGCGUGAGUGAUGAAGGCCUUCGGGUCGUAAAGCUCUGUCAGAGGGAAAGAAGUGUAUUUUGGUUAAUACC
rnacentral:rRNA from 1 species